rnacentral:rRNA from 1 species
CCUACGGGUGGCAGCAGUAGGGAAUUUUCGGCAAUGGGGGGAACACUGACCGAGCAACGCCGCGUGAACGAAGAAGUUAUUCGUAAUGUAAAGUUCUUUUAACAGGGAAGAAAGAGAAAUUUGACGGUACGUGAAGAAUAAGCUCCGGCUAACUACGAGCCGGCAGCCGGUGAAAUACGUAGGGAGCGAGCGUUAUCCGGAAUUAUUGGUCGGAAAGGGUGGGUGGAUGGCAUAGUAGGUCUGUGGUAAAAAUGAUGGGCUAAACCCGGUAGGGCAAAAGAUACUGGAAAGCUUGAGGGUGACAGAGGCAAGUGGAACUACAUGUGUAGCGGUAAAAUGCGUAGAUAUAUGUAAGAACACCAGUGGCGAAGGCGGCUUGCUGGAUCGAUACUGACAUUGAGGCACGAAAGCGUGGGGAGCAAACAGGAUUAGAUACCCGGGUAGUC